AGAGUUUGAUCAUGGCUCAGAUUGAACGCUGGCGGCAUGCCUUACACAUGCAAGUCGAACGGUAACAGGUCUUCGGAUGCUGACGAGUGGCGAACGGGUGAGUAAUACAUCGGAACGUGCCCGAUCGUGGGGGAUAACGGAGCGAAAGCUUUGCUAAUACCGCAUACGAUCUACGGAUGAAAGCAGGGGACCGCAAGGCCUUGCGCGGACGGAGCGGCCGAUGGCAGAUUAGGUAGUUGGUGGGAUAAAAGCUUACCAAGCCGACGAUCUGUAGCUGGUCUGAGAGGACGACCAGCCACACUGGGACUGAGACACGGCCCAGACUCCUACGGGAGGCAGCAGUGGGGAAUAUUGCACAAUGGGCGCAAGCCUGAUGCAGCGACGCCGCGUGGGGGAUGACGGCCUUCGGGUUGUAAACCUCUUUCAGUAUCGGCGAAGCUCCAGGAUUUUUCUUGGGGUGACGGUAGGUACAGAAGAAGCACCGGCCAACUACGUGCCAGCAGCCGCGGUAAUACGUAGGGUGCGAGCGUUGUCCGGAAUUACUGGGCGUAAAGAGCUCGUAGGUGGUUUGUCACGUUGUCUGUGAAAACUCACAGCUUAACUGUGGGCGUGCGGGCGAUACGGGCAGACUGGAGUACUGUAGGGGAGACUGGAAUUCCUGGUGUAGCGGUGGAAUGCGCAGAUAUCAGGAGGAACACCGGUGGCGAAGGCGGGUCUCCGGGCAGUAACUGACGCUGAGGAGCGAAAGCGUGGGGAGCGAACAGGAUUAGAUACCCUGGUAGUCCAA
rnacentral:rRNA from 1 species